rnacentral:lncRNA from 1 species
GAACAGUUAUAACUUAUACAUAUAUUGUCUCAAGCAUAUUAGUUUGUUAAUUUCAACAUGUAAACAAAUUUAAAGAGAUAGAAUAUGAAGUUCUCCCCAUCCCAAAGUAGAAAAUCAAAGAACUUUAACUUGAGUUAAAGUCAAACUAACUAUAAUAUGUUGGAUAUUUCGGGUCAUGGCUCGUCCACAUGAACCGACCCAGCCUGGCCCAUUUGUCCCAUUUAUCUGAAAAAAAGAAGAAAUUAAGACCAAAUUUUGAAUUUUGGGGGAACAGUUACAAAAGAAAAACUGUUCCACUCCCCUUAUAUUCAUCGAGUUUUCUUCUUCAGAAACAUGUGACGAAAAACAGCAACACAAAAGGGCAAACACAUUACAUUAACAAAACACUAAAUUGAAAGGCAUUUAGUUUGUGGAUUUACACUCCAUUUUCAAGAGAAACGAAACAAACUUGGAGCGAUUCUUUCGAUAGCAAAUUCAACGACUUCCGCUGCAACAGAGAAAGGUACACACUGAUUUCUGAUUUUGCUCUGAUUUUACCAUCAAUGCUAUCAGAGUCAGGUUUAUUGCCCUAAUUUUUCAUGUAAUAUCUCGAUUUUGAGUGUAGAAAUAAAAAAUUGAAUUAGGACACACUUGUAAGAAAAAUUAUUGACCGGAUAUAAAUCAUAUAAUCCGGUUAGACACGUAAAAUUUGGUCAGACAUACCACUAAGCCGGUCAGACGCGCCAUCGCUAAUCCGAUCGGAUGCACCGCUGAUCCAAUCAGACGCAUUGAAGUUUUUUUUUUUUUUCAGAACCGGCCUGUUUUAAAAAAAUUAAUAUAUAUAUAUAUACAUAUAUAUAUAUAUAUACAUAUUUGAAAUGGAGAUAGUAAGAAUUAGAUUAUGCUCCCCUCUGUUGCUCCAUCUUGGAUUGAGAUUUUUUUGGAGAAGUUUUUUUUUGAGAACGCUCUUUUUCUUUGCUUUGUUUCUUUAAUGAGAAAUGAAUUCCUUCUUAAAAAUGGUGAAGAAAGACGUUCUACUUUGUGCUUUGUGUUAAAAUAAUUUUUUUUGUUGUAUGGUACUAAUGUUUGUGUAGUACAAGUAAG